AACAAUCAGAAUUAACCUGCCUUAAAGUGAAAAACCUCUGUAAUCGAGUAUAAAUUAUAGUACUUAAACGUCCUUCUAACACACACACAUUUUACGGACUUUUGCUAAAUGUUUUUUUGGGGUGGUGGCGGUGAGUGGCUGUUAAUGAAAAUAAGAUCCACAGGGGACCAUUACAAUGCCCAACAUACACCAAAGAAACUCUGGUCAGUUUCACAGAAAACUGGACUGAUUGUUAUCCGCAUUCAAUCCCCAUUCUAUACAUGAACCAAGUUUAUGAAUCUGCUACGCUUCCGGCUUCAAUAAAUAUUUAGUAAUAUUCA